rnacentral:rRNA from 1 species
AACAUGGUCUUUUGUGUUAAAUAAAAGAUCUGGCCUGCCCAAUGAUUAGUUUUAAUGGCUGCAGUAUAUUGACUGUACAAAGGUAGCAUAAUCAUUUGUCUUUUAAUUGAAGUCUGGAAUGAAUGGUUGGAUGAGAAAUUGACUUUCUUUAUUUUAUAUAUAAAAUUUAAUUUUUAAAUUAAAAAGUUUAAAUGUUAAUAUAGGACGAGAAGACCCUAUAGAAUUUUAUUCUCCUUAUUUUUAAGAAUUUAUUUUGUAAAUGAUUUUUUUUAAUUUUUGGGGAAUUUUGUUGGGGUGACAGAAAAAAAUGAAUAACUUUUUUUAUUUGUCUCAUUUAUGUAUGAUUAUUUGAUCCUUUAUUAUGGAAAUUAAGAUUAAAUUACCUUAGGGAUAACAGCGUUAUUAUUUUAGAGAGUUCAUAUUGAUAAAAUAGUUUGCGACCUCGAUGUUGGAUUAAAAUUAGUUUUGGGGGUAUAAGAUUAAGUGACUAGGUCUGUUCGACCUUUAAAUUUUUACAUGAUCU